rnacentral:rRNA from 1 species
UACGGGGGGAGCAAGCGUUGUUCGGAUUUACUGGGCGUAAAGGGCGCGUAGGCGGUCGUGACAAGUCACUUGUGAAAUCUCCGGGCUUAACUCGGAAAGGUCAAGUGAUACUGUCGGACUAGAGUACAGAAGGGGCAACUGGAAUUCUCGGUGUAGCGGUGAAAUGCGUAGAUAUCGAGAGGAACACCUGCGGCGAAGGCGGGUUGCUGGGCUGAUACUGACGCUGAGGCGCGAAAGUUAGGGGAGCGAACGGG